rnacentral:ncRNA from 1 species
UUAAAUACGAAGAAGGAUCGAAGUAGCUAUGCAAAUCACUAUUUUAAGAGAACUGACGGGUGGUGCAAGUCAGUAUAUAUUUGCUGGUGAAUUACAAUCUGGAGUAAUUCUCUUCAUUUAGAGAUCGGUGGAAACAUCGUUAACAAUUCCAAGUGGCUGGUAAUCCAGCAACAAGGGUGGUACCGCGAAUACAACUCGUCCCUUCC